UUCUGACUCUGAUUUUCUAAAACCAGCCAGAGCAAAUAUGGACUCUUACUCAUUUGCUUCCUCUUGCUUUCUCUCUCUUUUAAUUCAUCAACGCCUCUUUGCCAUUCACACCAAUCCUCUGUUAAGUAUCAAAAAAUGAAAUACUUUACUUAUCGGAGUGCUCUAACGUAAACUUCUAUGCUUAACAUCACAGGCUGGUGGCCCUUUCUAUCUCUUUAACAGGACGGAGGGAGAGCAUUCAUUCAUAUUUCAGAGCACUGGCUGACAUUCCACAACCAGAUUAUAAAAAUGUCUAAAUUAUCAAAAAAAUUCAACCAAAAAAAAAAAAAAAAAAAAAAAAAAGAAGAAUGAAAGAAAAGAGAAAUUCUUUUCUUUUUCCAAAUAUUGUUAAACUGACAAUGAAGAACAGCUCCUGGGAAGUUUGAUGAUCUGCUUGAGCCCGGAUGCCAUUGUUUGCCUUGGGUUUUGAGACAGCAGUUAGCUGGCCACCUUUUGUUGCGUGUGCAGCAGCUGGAUGUUUGAUGUGAAACAAAGACAAAAGGAUAAUGUGUUUGUUAUUGUUGUUACUUCUAUUCAAUACCAGGCCUUGUCAGACAAAGCUGCUGAUGCUUUCUACAAACUCAGCAACACCAGAGCACAGAUCCAAUCCUAUGUCUUUGAUGGUAUGGAUGUGCAACUGGACCUUGAAGUUGAAAGUCACCAUGUUAGUCUUAAUAAUGAAAUUAAAAGAGUCAUGUCCUUUACUAUUAAAUAAGGUCCCAUGGGUCUAUAUUUGUUAGAAAAAUAAAUAAAUUCUGAGUAUUCUGGGUUUUUCUAACUUGAUAUUGACUUUUGAAGUUUAAGCUGAGAAGUAUGGACUUCUUUUCUAACUUGACAUUGAUUUUUUGAAGUUUAUGCUAAAACAAUUGAAAUUUCUAUUCUUAGUGAAACAGCUGUAUAGGACAAUUGUUUAAUGUUUUAAUGUUCUUUAUGAUUUGCUUAAAGCAUCAUGAUUAACUAUGUAUAUCAAUGCAUAUACUUGUUAUGUCAUACUUUCCAUUGGAGACAAUUUUACCUAUUUGUAUAUCGUUUUGAGAGACUAACAGGCUUAUAUCCCUAUUCUUCUAGUUAUUAGAGCAAGUGUUCCUAAGUUGGUGCUGGAUUCUGUUUAUGAACAAAAUAAUUAGAUCACAAAAGCAGUGGAAGAGGAACUUGAAAAGGAAUUUCUCUGUCUGCUAAUCUGGUUUAGUAUUAGUCAAGUUACAAGGUAAAUCUGUUUCUUUUUAAUAUCUUUGAAUUUUACAUGCAUAGGCCAAGUCAGCUUAUGGAUUUGAGAUUGUUCAAAUGGUUAUUGUGGACACUAAACCUGAUAAACAUGUGAAGAGGACUAUGAGUGAGAUAAAUGCCGCUGCAAGAAUGAAGGUGGUGGCUAACGAGAAGGCUGAAGCAGAAAAAAUCCUGCAAAUAAAACAUGCCAAGGGAGACUGAGCAUGGUAAGCAUGCCAGCAUCAGACCAUUGAAGUUGGGCUGAGGGACAGUGUGCUUGCUUUCUCUGUGAAUGUACCUGGGACUUCGUCAAAGGAUGUCUUGGACAUGGUUCUGGUGACUCAAUAUUUAGACACAAUGAAAGAAAUUGGCGCAUUGUCAUCACACACGGACCAGGUGCUGUGAAAGACAUUGCUUCACAGAUUAGAGAUGGCCUCCUUCAAGCAAAUACCACCUAGAAUUAGUAACUUUGUCCCAACAUAUAUGUUGCACGAGUGGCUUUUCUAAUGGUGUAUGAAAUGAUUGGUGCUAGUAUCUAAUGUCUUGCAAGUUGCAACUAAGUGGUGUGGUGUGGUGUGUAUACAUGGUGUUGAACUUGGCCAUAGUAUUGGCAAUAUUCUUUUAUAGGAUGAGAUGGUACUGAUUUGGGUAAUUUUGUGGAA